rnacentral:rRNA from 1 species
CACUAGACGCAUGUCUAGAGUUUAAAGAUGGUUCUGCUAUCACUCUUGGAUAGACCUGCGGUGCAUUAGCUAGUUGGUAAGGGUAACGGGCUUUACCCAAGGCAAUGAUGCAUAGCCCGAGUUGAGAGACUGAUCGGGCCACAUUGGGACUGAGACACGGCCAAAACUCCUACGGGAGGCAGCAGUAGGGAAUCUUCCACAAUGGACGCAAGUCUGAUGGAGCAACGCCGCGUGAGUGAAGAAGGGUUUCGGCUCGUAAAGCUCUGUUGGUAGUGAAGAAAGAUAGAGGUAGUAACUGGCCUUUAUUUGACGGUAAUUACUUAGAAAGUCACGGCUAACUACGUGCCAGAGCCGCGGUAAU